CCUGUCCUCCUCUCUCCCAGCCCCUGGCAGACACAGACACCAUCCUACUUUCCUCUGGUGAGCUGCUUGUUUCACUCAGGAUGCUGUCCUCAGGAGUUAUCCAUGUUAUAGCGUGUGUCCCAGUGCCUUCCUUUUCAGGACUGAGUACUAUUCUAUGCUCUGUGUCCGUGGACCACAUUUCCUUUAUCCAUUUACCAUCUUGAGCACUGGGCUGCUGCCACCUUGGGCUGUUGUGAAUGAUGCAGUCAUGAAUGUGGGUGUGCAGAAUGUCUCCUCCAGACCCUGCUUUAAAUAUUGGGGGCUAUCCCAGAGGUGGAAUUGCUAGAUCACACAGUGCUUCCAGUAUUGAUUUUGGAGGACCUUUCAUCCUGUGUUCCAUGAUGACUGCUCCUGUUGACCUCCUACCACAAUGCAAGAGGCUCUCCGUCCCCACACUCCUGUUGACACUUGCCUUUGAUGACAGCCAUUCUAGCAGAGGUGGUGUGACUGCUUGUGAGUUUGAAUUGCGUUUCCUUACUUCUCAGCCAUGUUGAGCAUCCGUUCCUGUGACUGUUUGGUCAUAUUGUGUCCGUUCAUGUUCUUUGCUUAUUUGUUAAUCAGGUAUUUUUGUUGUUGAGAUGCAGGAGGUCUUUG
rnacentral:lncRNA from 1 species